UAUUGUUAUAGACAUUUAAUAUUACGUGACAUAGUAAUUGGUAAAUAUAUUUUUAGGGGUGAUAGGCCUUUUAAAUUUAUUGAUAGCUUGAUACGUAAUAAAAUUAUUAAGUACAAAGUCAUACUAUGAAAGUUAAGUUUUAUAGUGGUAAUUAAUUUAGGGAAAAUAAUAUAUUAUAGUUUAAUAGCUAAUUAAUAGUAAUAUAAAUAUUUUUUUCUUAAUUUUAUUUAAUACAUUACGUUAUUUUUACUUGAGUAUAUAUUAAUAAUGUUAAUAUAAGUAAUAUUUAUAAAUAAAUUAAAGGAACUCGGCAAUUACAUUUUUCAACUGUUUAUCAAAAACAUAACUAUAUGGUCUUGUAUAUAGCUGUUCCUGCUCAAUGAUUUUAAAUAGCCGCAGUACCCUGACUGUGCAAAGGUAGCAUAAUCAGUUGGCUUUUAAUUGGAGUCUAGAAUGAAUGGAUUUUUGGAAAAUAACUUUCUCUUUUUUAUUUUUGUGAAAUUAGUUUGUAAGUGAAAAUACUUACGUAUAUAUAAAGGACGAGAAGACCCUAGAAAUUUAAAUAUUAUUUUGUUGGGGCGACAGAAUUACAAAAAACUAAUUUGAUUUACGUGACGUUUUUACAGAUCGAUUAAAUUACUCUAGGGAUAACAGCAUAAUUUUUAUAGUUUGUGACCUCGAUGUUGGACUAGGAUAUUAAACGGUUUAGAAGAUCUUUAAUAAUGCUCUGUUCGAGCU
rnacentral:rRNA from 1 species